rnacentral:rRNA from 1 species
GACGAACGCUGGCGGCGUGCUUAACACAUGCAAGUCGAACGGAAAGGCCCUGCUUUUGUGGGGUGCUCGAGUGGCGAACGGGUGAGUAACACGUGAGUAACCUGCCCUUGACUUUGGGAUAACUUCAGGAAACUGGGGCUAAUACCGGAUAGGAGCUCCUGCUGCAUGGUGGGGGUUGGAAAGUUUCGGCGGUUGGGGAUGGACUCGCGACUUAUCAGAUUGUUGGUGGGGUAGUGGCUUACCAAGGCUUUGACGGGUAGCCGGCCUGAGAGGGUGACCGGACACAUUGGAACAGAGAUACGGCCCAGACUCGUACGGGAGGCAGCAGUGGAGAAUAUUGCACAAUGGGCGGAAGACGGAGGCAGCAACGCCGCGUGCGGGAUGAAGGCCUUCGGGGUUGAAACCGAUUUCGCCUGUGACGAAGAGUGAGUGAAGGUAAUGGGUAAAGAAGAACCGGCUAACUACGUG